GAUGAACGCUGGCGGCGUGCCUAAUACAUGCAAGUCGAGCGAACGGACGAGAAGCUUGCUUCUCUGAUGUUAGCGGCGGACGGGUGAGUAACACGUGGAUAACCUACCUAUAAGACUGGGAUAACUUCGGGAAACCGGAGCUAAUACCGGAUAAUAUUUUGAACCGCAUGGUUCAAAAGUGAAAGACGGUCUUGCUGUCACUUAUAGAUGGAUCCGCGCUGCAUUAGCUAGUUGGUAAGGUAACGGCUUACCAAGGCAACGAUGCAUAGCCGACCUGAGAGGGUGAUCGGCCACACUGGAACUGAGACACGGUCCAGACUCCUACGGGAGGCAGCAGUAGGGAAUCUUCCGCAAUGGGCGAAAGCCUGACGGAGCAACGCCGCGUGAGUGAUGAAGGUCUUCGGAUCGUAAAACUCUGUUAUUAGGGAAGAACAUAUGUGUAAGUAACUGUGCACAUCUUGACGGUACCUAAUCAGAAAGCCACGGCUAACUACGUGCCAGCAGCCGCGGUAAUACGUAGGUGGCAAGCGUUAUCCGGAAUUAUUGGGGUAAAGCGCGCGUAGGCGGUUUUUUAAGUCUGAUGUGAAAGCCCACGGCUCACCGUGGAGGGUCAUUGGAAACUGGAAAACUUGAGUGCAGAAGAGGAAAGUGGAAUUCCAUGUGUAGCGGUGAAAUGCGCAGAGAUAUGGAGGAACACCAGUGGCGAAGGCGACGUUCUGGUCUGUAACUGACGCUGAUGUGCGAAAGCGUGGGGAUCAAACAGGAUUAGAUACCCUGGUAGUCCACGCCGUAAACGAUGAGUGCUAAGUGUUAGGGGGUUUCCGCCCCUUAGUGCUGCAGCUAACGCAUUAAGCACUCCGCCUGGGGAGUACGACCGCAAGGUUGAAACUCAAAGGAAUUGACGGGGACCCGCACAAGCGGUGGAGCAUGUGGUUUAAUUCGAAGCAACGCGAAGAACCUUACCAAAUCUUGACAUCCUUUGACAACUCUAGAGAUAGAGCCUUCCCCUUCGGGGGACAAAGUGACAGGUGGUGCAUGGUUGUCGUCAGCUCGUGUCGUGAGAUGUUGGGUUAAGUCCCGCAACGAGCGCAACCCUUAAGCUUAGUUGCCAUCAUUAAGUUGGGCACUCUAAGUUGACUGCCGGUGACAAACCGGAGGAAGGUGGGGAUGACGUCAAAUCAUCAUGCCCCUUAUGAUUUGGGCUACACACGUGCUACAAUGGACAAUACAAAGGGCAGCGAAACCGCGAGGUCAAGCAAAUCCCAUAAAGUUGUUCUCAGUUCGGAUUGUAGUCUGCAACUCGACUACAUGAAGCUGGAAUCGCUAGUAAUCGUAGAUCAGCAUGCUACGGUGAACACGUUCCCGGGUCU
rnacentral:rRNA from 1 species